GACGAACGCUGGCGGCGUGCUUAACACAUGCAAGUCGAACGGAAAGGCCCUGCUUUUGUGGGGUGCUCGAGUGGCGAACGGGUGAGUAACACGUGAGUAACCUGCCCUUGACUUUGGGAUAACUUCAGGAAACUGGGGCUAAUACCUGCUAGGAGCUCCUGCUGCAUGGUGGGGGUUGGAAAGUUUCGGCGGGUGGGGAUGGACUCGCGGCUUAUCAGCUUGUUGGUGGGGUAGUGGCUUACCAAGGCUUUGACGGGUAGCCGGCAUGAGAGGGGGACCGGCCACAUGGGGCCUGAGAUACGGCCCAGACUCCUACGGGAGGCAGCAGGGGGGAGUAUUGCACAAUGGGCGGAAGCCUGAGGCAGCAACGCCGCGUGCGGGAUGACGGCCUUCGGGUUGUAAACCGCUUUCGCCUGUGACGAAGCGUGAGUGACGGUAAUGGGUAAAGAAGCACCGGCUAACUACGUG
rnacentral:rRNA from 1 species